GACGAACGCUGGCGGCGUGCUUAACACAUGCAAGUCGAACGGAAAGGCCUCUUUCGGGGGGUACUCGAGUGGCGAACGGGUGAGUAACACGUGAGUAACCUGCCCUUGACUUUGGGAUAACUUCAGGAAACUGGGGCUAAUACCGGAUAGGAGCUCCUGCUGCCUGGUGGGGGUUGGAAAGUUUCGGCGGUUGGGGAUGGACUCGCGGCGUAUCAGCUUGUUGUUGGGGUAGUGGCUUACCAAGGCUUUGACGGGUAGCCGGCCUGUGAGGGUGACCGGCCACAUUGAGACUGAGAUACGGCCCAGACUCCGACGGGAGGCAGCAGUGGGGAAUAUUGAACAAUGGGUGGAAGCCUGAUGCAGCAGCGCCGUGUGCGGGAUGACGGCCUUCGGGUUGUAAACCGCUUUCGCUCAUGACGAAGCUUUGUGUGACGGUAGUGGGUAAAGAAGCACCGGCUAACUACGUG
rnacentral:rRNA from 1 species